rnacentral:lncRNA from 1 species
GGACUUUUAAACCUCAAAGAUGAGGGUGGGAACAACAGAGAAGAACCUAUUAUUGGGCCACCUAUCAAGCAAAAAGAAAAUACAGCAAUACAAGGUCUCCAGAUUUGCCACCCAUGCUGAGUGCCGUGGUGUGAUCAUGGCUUAUUUCAACCUCAACCUCCCCCACUCAAGCGAUCCUCCUGCCUCAGCCUCUGGAGUAGCUGGGACUACAGGCACGCACCACCACACCCAGCCAUAAUUUGCCUCUUGCUGUAACUAAAAGGUCACAAAAACAAAGAAUUCUAAAAAAUCUUCUUCUUAAGUGUGCCUCACUACCACAAAUUAUGCAGUCAAGUCUCCCAUAUUUGGGGACAUCGCAGGGGUCAGCAUGUCCAGAGUGCAAUGGAUAAGCCUUGCCCUGGGAAAA